GGCAUUCAUAGGGCUGUGAUCGG
rnacentral:miRNA from 1 species